CAAGAGAUUGGUGAAAGAGUGUGUUUUGUCUGACUGGCAAGUCAGAUGGGACACUAGCGUGAAUGGGCGUGUCACUCAUCGGUUUAUACGGGAGGUUACAUUUGCCGGCAGCCGACCAGACUUUGGGUUCGGCCUGAGUCUUGGAUUCCUGUUGACUGGUCACGGUUCCCUCAAUGCAUUCUUGCAUUCGAGGAACCUUUAUGACAGUCCAGAAUGCCGUUGUGGCUCGGCUGCUGAGACAUGGGAGCAUGUUCUCUGUGAGUGCACAAGGUAUGCAGAUUUUCGAGAUCUGAGGGGGAUGGGUAUAAGUGAGGUUAGUGGCGGGUUUGACGUAAGUCAAUCACUCUCCACUAGUGAUAGGGUUAGAAGAAUGAGUGAGUUUGCUAGAGCUGCAUUUUCCAGGCGACGUUUGCAAUUGCAGGAAGGAAUUGUAUGAAUGAUGAUGGAUGGUAGAUGUGAGAAUGUGGGGGUACGAAUGUGGGGGUGUUUCUGAAUGGUAAUUUUUGUUGAACAUUGUGUUGUGAUGGGGCUACCAACCCUUAACUGUUUUGGAGUUUAAAUUGGAAGUGCCCUUCUGGUACGAGGCCUGACCGGAGGCUUUUAAUCUGGUACCACGGGUAACCAGGAGCCCACGGAACUUGUUCCGUCCUGGUUAGUUGGUGCGGCCCUUCGGGGAGUAUCGUGGUGGUUGUGGUUUAACACCCAAAUGCGGGUAGAGCAUCGCUCGACGUGGAGUUGCGUCAUACAACCGGGUUCCGUGACCCAGAUUACGGAAGAGGCUUAGAUAGUCCUCGUGCCAAACCAAGGUAGAAGUCACAACCAAACAGUCGUGUCUUUAAUUGGUACCUGCGGAAUUGUUCCAAGGGGGCGGUGAUUGACGCUUGAAUUAAUCCUAUACUAGGAACCGUGAGAUUAAGCCAUCGCGGCAGGUGCUCACGUUAAGCCCACUGACUUUCAUGUCCCUAUCUACUAUCUAGCGAAACCACAGCCAAGGGAACGGGCUUGGAAUAAUUAGCGGGGAAAGAAGACCCUUUUGAGCUUGACUCUAAUCUGGCAGUGUAAGGAGACAUAAGAGGUGUAGAAUAAGUGGGAGAUAUUAGACUUCGGU
rnacentral:ncRNA from 1 species